CAGGCGUGUGAUAGUGUUUGUCACUUCGAUUAUCUUCGGAAGAUCAAAGGAUCUCGACGUAAGAGCGUUCAAUCGAGAUCGAUCUUAUGGCCGACUCACAACCAAAGACAAACCCUGGAGCACAUCUGGCGCCAGCCUCAUUUCAAAACUUUCCCAUCUCUAGUCUUCAGCUCAGUGACGAUGAGAUGAUCAGUGGCAGGAACGGUAAAGAGAUGGAUGAGAGUCAGAGUCCAGAGAGGAUUGAAGAACCUCCAUCUGCAGUCUUUCCGCAAAAGGUUGCACCACAGAGAGAUGGGAAGGAUGGACCAAAGAAGGUUUUGAGAUCAAAACUGUGGGAAAUAUUGGGGAAAGCUUCGCCAGAAAAUAAUGAAGAUGUCAACUCUGAGACCCCAGAAGUGGUUAAGACAAACUCUAAGUCGUGUCAAGACAUAAAGAGUUCUCUUAUCAAGCAUAUAACUUCUGAAAUUUCAACCAGAACUACGUCUUUGUCGCAGAGGAUGGUAGGAGCCAAAGGUAUUCGGAAUAGAUCCAUUUCAACUGGUGCCAUCUUAGGUGGCAAAAGCACAGAAGAUUUUAGAGUUCACCUCCCAAGGGACAAAAGGCCAAGCGUUAGAUAAGAGAUUUCAUAACUUAGGAUAUUAUUCUUUCGGAAGAGAGAGUUCUCCCGAGCCGAAUGAAGUCUCAUAUGGAGCAAUAGAAGACUCACCUGCGUUGGCCCAUUACAAAGGCCUACAAGCAAGAGAAACUUCAAGUGAGAUAUCUAAGCGAGGCUUUGAUGAUGAAAGGUUCCCAAGUUGGUAUCUUAGCGUCAUCAUUCCACCUAGAUUGGUGGUAUAUGUGUACUAUGCUCAGAUUCCCAAUGGCCAACCUGCCAUUUUGGAU